AUUAACGCUAGCGGCAGGCAUAAUACAUGCAAGUUGAGCGGCAGCACAGGUAGCAAUACCGGGUGGCGAGUGGCGCACGGGUGCGUAACACGUAUGCAACCUACCCUAUACAGGCGAAUAACCUUUAGAAAUGAGGGCUAAUACGCCGUGGUAUUAUCUUGGGGCAUCUUGAGAUAGUUAAAGAUUUAUCGGUAUAGGAUGGGCAUGCGUCCCAUUAGUUAGUUGGUAGGGUAACGGCCUACCAAGGCUAUGAUGGG
rnacentral:rRNA from 1 species